rnacentral:rRNA from 2 species
UUAAGCGACUAAGCGUACACGGUGGAUGCCCUGGCAGUCAGAGGCGAUGAAGGACGUGCUAAUCUGCGAAAAGCGUCGGUAAGGUGAUAUGAACCGUUAUAACCGGCGAUGUCCGAAUGGGGAAACCCAGUGCAAUUCGUUGCACUAUCGUUAACUGAAUACAUAGGUUAACGAGGCGAACCGGGGGAACUGAAACAUCUAAGUACCCCGAGGAAAAGAAAUCAACCGAGAUUCCCCCAGUAGCGGCGAGCGAACGGGGAGCAGCCCAGAGUCUGAAUCAGCUUGUGUGUUAGUGGAACGGUCUGGAAAGUCCGACGGUACAGGGUGAUAGUCCCGUACACCAAAAUGCACAGGCUGUGAACUCGAAGAGUAGGGCGGGACACGUGGUAUCCUGUCUGAAUAUGGGGGGACCAUCCUCCAAGGCUAAAUACUCCUGACUGACCGAUAGUGAACCAGUACCGUGAGGGAAAGGCGAAAAGAACCCCGGCGAGGGGAGUGAAAAAGAACCUGAAACCGUGUACGUACAAGCAGUGGGAGCACCUUCGGGUGUGACUGCGUACCUUUUGUAUAAUGGGUCAGCGACUUAUAUUCUGUAGCAAGGUUAACCGUAUAGGGGAGCCGCAGGGAAACCGAGUCUUAACUGGGCGUUAAGUUGCAGGGUAUAGACCCGAAACCCGGUGAUCUAGCCAUGGGCAGGUUGAAGGUUGGGUAACACUAACUGGAGGACCGAACCGACUAAUGUUGAAAAAUUAGCGGAUGACUUGUGGCUGGGGGUGAAAGGCCAAUCAAACCGGGAGAUAGCUGGUUCUCCCCGAAAGCUAUUUAGGUAGCGCCUCGUGAACUCAUCUUCGGGGGUAGAGCACUGUUUCGGCUAGGGGGUCAUCCCGACUUACCAACCCGAUGCAAACUACGAAUACCGAAGAAUGUUAUCACGGGAGACACACGGCGGGUGCUAACGUCCGUCGUGAAGAGGGAAACAACCCAGACCGCCAGCUAAGGUCCCAAAGUCAUGGUUAAGUGGGAAACGAUGUGGGAAGGCACAGACAGCCAGGAUGUUGGCUUAGAAGCAGCCAUCAUUUAAAGAAAGCGUAAUAGCUCACUGGUCGAGUCGGCCUGCGCGGAAGAUGUAACGGGGCUAAACCAUGCACCGAAGCUGCGGCAGCGACACUAUGUGUUGUUGGGUAGGGGAGCGUUCUGUAAGCCUGCGAAGGUGUGCUGUGAGGCAUGCUGGAGGUAUCAGAAGUGCGAAUGCUGACAUAAGUAACGAUAAAGCGGGUGAAAAGCCCGCUCGCCGGAAGACCAAGGGUUCCUGUCCAACGUUAAUCGGGGCAGGGUGAGUCGACCCCUAAGGCGAGGCCGAAAGGCGUAGUCGAUGGGAAACAGGUUAAUAUUCCUGUACUUGGUGUUACUGCGAAGGGGGGACGGAGAAGGCUAUGUUAGCCGGGCGACGGUUGUCCCGGUUUAAGCAUGUAGGCUGGUUGUCCAGGCAAAUCCGGAUAAUCAAGGCUGAGGUGUGAUGACGAGGCACUACGGUGCUGAAGUAACAAAUGCCCUGCUUCCAGGAAAAGCCUCUAAGCAUCAGGUAACAUUAAAUCGUACCCCAAACCGACACAGGUGGUCAGGUAGAGAAUACCAAGGCGCUUGAGAGAACUCGGGUGAAGGAACUAGGCAAAAUGGUGCCGUAACUUCGGGAGAAGGCACGCUGGUGUGUAGGUGAAGUCCCUGCGGAUGGAGCUGAGACCAGUCGAAGAUACCAGCUGGCUGCAACUGUUUAUUAAAAACACAGCACUGUGCAAACACGAAAGUGGACGUAUACGGUGUGACGCCUGCCCGGUGCCGGAAGGUUAAUUGAUGGGGUUAUCCGUAAGGAGAAGCUCUUGAUCGAAGCCCCGGUAAACGGCGGCCGUAACUAUAACGGUCCUAAGGUAGCGAAAUUCCUUGUCGGGUAAGUUCCGACCUGCACGAAUGGCGUAAUGAUGGCCAGGCUGUCUCCACCCGAGACUCAGUGAAAUUGAACUCGCUGUGAAGAUGCAGUGUACCCGCGGCAAGACGGAAAGACCCCGUGAACCUUUACUAUAGCUUGACACUGAACAUUGAGCCUUGAUGUGUAGGAUAGGUGGGAGGCUUUGAAGCGUGGACGCCAGUCUGCGUGGAGCCAACCUUGAAAUACCACCCUUUAAUGUUUGAUGUUCUAACGUUGGCCCCUUACCGGGGUUGCGGACAGUGUCUGGUGGGUAGUUUGACUGGGGCGGUCUCCUCCCAAAGCGUAACGGAGGAGCACGAAGGUUAGCUAAUCCUGGUCGGACAUCAGGAGGUUAGUGCAAUGGCAUAAGCUAGCUUGACUGCGAGCGUGACGGCGCGAGCAGGUGCGAAAGCAGGUCAUAGUGAUCCGGUGGUUCUGAAUGGAAGGGCCAUCGCUCAACGGAUAAAAGGUACUCCGGGGAUAACAGGCUGAUACCGCCCAAGAGUUCAUAUCGACGGCGGUGUUUGGCACCUCGAUGUCGGCUCAUCACAUCCUGGGGCUGAAGUAGGUCCCAAGGGUAUGGCUGUUCGCCAUUUAAAGUGGUACGCGAGCUGGGUUUAGAACGUCGUGAGACAGUUCGGUCCCUAUCUGCCGUGGGCGCUGGAGAAUUGAGGGGGGCUGCUCCUAGUACGAGAGGACCGGAGUGGACGCAUCACUGGUGUUCGGGUUGUCAUGCCAAUGGCACUGCCCGGUAGCUAAAUGCGGAAGAGAUAAGUGCUGAAAGCAUCUAAGCACGAAACUUGCCCCGAGAUGAGUUCUCCCUGAGACUUUAAGUCUCCUGAAGGAACGUUGAAGACGACGACGUUGAUAGGCCGGGUGUGUAAGCGCAGCGAUGCGUUGAGCUAACCGGUACUAAUGAACCGUGAGGCUUAACCUU